rnacentral:rRNA from 1 species
GUUGCCAGCGGUUAGGCCGGGAACUCAAAGGAGACUGCCAGUGAUAAACUGGAGGAAGGUGGGGAUGACGUCAAGUCAUCAUGGCCCUUACGACCAGGGCUACACACGUGCUACAAUGGCGCAUACAAAGAGAAGCGACCUCGCGAGAGCAAGCGGACCUCAUAAAGUGCGUCGUAGUCCGGAUUGGAGUCUGCAACUCGACUCCAUGAAGUCGGAAUCGCUAGUAAUCGUGGAUCAGAAUGCCACGGUGAAUACGUUCCCGGGCCUUGUACACACCGCCCGUCACACCAUGGGAGUGGGUUGCAAAAGAAGUAGGUAGCUUAACCUUCGGGAGGGCGCUUACCACUUUGUGAUUCAUGACUGGGGUGAAGUCGUAACAAGGUAACCGUAGGGGAACCUGCGGUUGGA